rnacentral:misc_RNA from 1 species
GGGCCUUUUUAUAUUCCUCACUGGUAUCACGGUCGCCCUCUACGCUGGACCGGGUGUCAAUACGGGAAGUUCCUGAAAGCCUCACCGUUCACGGCGGGGAGGAGGUCAGUGACACAAAUUUU